rnacentral:rRNA from 1 species
UGGGGAAUAUUGCACAAUGGGGGAAACCCUGAUGCAGCGACGCCGCGUGAACGAAGAAGGUAUUCGUAUCGUAAAGUUCUGUCCUAUGGGAAGAUAAUGACAGUACCAUAGAAGAAAGCUCCGGCUAAAUACGUGCCAGCAGCCGCGGUAAUACGUAUGGAGCGAGCGUUGUCCGGAAUUAUUGGGCGUAAAGGGUACGCAGGCGGUUUAAUAAGUCGAAUGUUAAAGAUCGGGGCUCAACCCCGCAAAGCAUUGGAAACUGAUAAACUUGAGUAGUGGAGAGGAAAGUGGAAUUACUAGUGUAGUGGUGAAAUACGUAGAUAUUAGGAGGAAUACCAGUAACGAAGGCGACUUUCUGGACACAAACUGACGCCGCGGUACGAAAGCGUGGGGAGCAAACAGG